CAUGCAAGUGGAGCGACGAACCAGGGCUUGCCCUGGAGCAAAGCCGCGAACGGGUGAGUAACACGUGGGUAACCUACCCCAAUGACUGGGACAACCCGAGGAAACUCGGGCUAAUACCGGAUGUGCUCAGCGUCCAUCAGGACGGUGAGGAAAGGAAGCUUCGGCCUCCGCAUCGGGAGGGGCCCGCGGCCCAUUAGCUAGUUGGUGAGGUAACGGCUCACCAAGGCUGCAAUGGGUAGCUGGUCUGAGAGGACGAUCAGCCACACUGGGACUGAGACACGGCCCAGACUCCUACGGGAGGCAGCAGUGGGGAAUCUUGCGCAAUGCGCGAAAGCGUGACGCAGCAACGCCGCGUGGGGGAAGAAGGCUUUCGGGUCGUAAACCCCUUUCAGUAGGGACGAAGGUGUGGCGGUGAAUAGCCGUCCACACUGACGGUACCUGCAAAAGAAGCCCCGGCUAACUACGUGCCAGCAGCCGCGGUAAUACGUAGGGGGCUAGCGUUGUCCGGAAUUAUUGGGCGUAAAGAGCACGUAGGCGGCCCGGUUAGUCCGCUGUAAAAGUCAAAGGCUCAACCUUUGAAUGCCGGUGGAUACUGCCAGGCUAGAGUCCGGAAGAGGCGA
rnacentral:rRNA from 1 species